CCGGGAUGGACGUACCUCUGGUGUACCAGUUGUCCUGCCAAGGGCAUGGCUGGGUAGCUAUGUACGGAAUGGAUAAGCGCUGAAAGCAUCUAAGCGCGAAGCCAACUUCAAGAUAAGAUUUCCCACCGCAAGGGUAAGACCCCAGAAAGACUAUCUGGUUGAUAGGUCGAAGGUGUAAGUGCAGUAAUGUAUUUAGCUUAUCGAUACUAAUAGGUCGAGGACUUGACCAAU
rnacentral:rRNA from 1 species